rnacentral:rRNA from 1 species
GAUUAGUGGCGACGGGUGAGUAACACGUGGGCAAUCUGCCCUUCACUCUGGGACAAGCCCUGGAAACGGGGUCUAAUACCGGAUAACACUCCUCCCUGCAUGGGGAGGGGUUAAAAGCUCCGGCGGUGAAGGAUGAGCCCGCGGCCUAUCAGCUUGUUGGUGGGGUAAUGGCCUACCAAGGCGACGACGGGUAGCCGGCCUGAGAGGGCGACCGGCCACACUGGGACUGAGACACGGCCCAGACUCCUACGGGAGGCAGCAGUGGGGAAUAUUGCACAAUGGGCGAAAGCCUGAUGCAGCGACGCCGCGUGAGGGAUGACGGCCUUCGGGUUGUAAACCUCUUUCAGCAGGGAAGAAGCGAAAGUGACGGUACCUGCAGAAGAAGCGCCGGCUAACUACGUGCCAGCAGCCGCGGUAAUACGUAGGGCGCAAGCGUUGUCCGGAAUUAUUGGGCGUAAAGAGCUCGUAGGCGGCUUGUCACGUCGGAUGUGAAAGCCCGGGGCUUAACCCCGGGUCUGCAUUCGAUACGGGCAGGCUAGAGUGUGGUAGGGGAGAUCGGAAUUCCUGGUGUAGCGGUGAAAUGCGCAGAUAUCAGGAGGAACACCGGUGGCGAAGGCGGAUCUCUGGGCCAUUACUGACGCUGAGGAGCGAAAGCGUGGGGAGCGAACAGGAUUAGAUACCCUGGUAGUCCACGCCGUAAACGUUGGGAACUAGGUGUUGGCGACAUUCCACGUCGUCGGUGCCGCAGCUAACGCAUUAAGUUCCCCGCCUGGGGGAGUACGGCGCAGGCUAAACUCAAGGAAUUGACGGGGGCCGCACAGCAGCGAGCAUGUGCUAGUCGACGCACGCG